ensembl:lncRNA novel transcript, antisense to POLDIP3
GGCUCCCGCCCUGCGUGCUAGCGAGGCAGGCAUUGGCAGAACGGACUCGGGGCUGUCCUUCGUGGCCCGGACCCCGCGAGGCCUGUCCUUCCACCUCUGUGGGGACCAAGAGGGCAAGGAUCGUGCCAGGCUCACCGUGGGCGCUCAGUAAGCGGCCGUGCAGAGGACGGUUGAGGGCUUUGUGCAGAGGAAAUGAGAGACUGCUCUGAAGCAAGGCCCGCCUAGUGAGCUGCUAGGAAAAUGGAAGUCUGGGAUUAAUCGUCUCUACAAGGAGGGUGCGUGGGAGGCACCAAAGCAGGCGGUCACAGCUCCCGCAAAGGCAGCCGGCUCUCCUUCCCCGCCUGACGCUCAGGGACUACUCGCACAGACUGGGCUACUUCCUUCUUCAUUCAUUCAUCAAGUAUUUAUUGAGAAACUGCUAAGUGCCAAAUGCUUUGUUCUGGGCAUUGUAGGGGCAGAAAGGUGUGAUAUUUUCCCUUACUCAUCCCAAAGGUCACAGCGGACACUCCUACAAAUAAAAUAUAGGUUAGCAAGAGAAAA